rnacentral:rRNA from 1 species
UACGUAGGGUGCAAGCGUUGUCCGGAAUUAUUGGGCGUAAAGAGCUCGUAGGCGGUUUGUUGCGUCGGCUGUGAAAUCCCGAGGCUCAACCUCGGGUCUGCAGUCGAUACGAGCAAACUAGAGUGUUGCAGGGGAGACUGGAAUUCCUGGUGUAGCGGUGAAAUGCGCAGAUAUCAGGAGGAACACCGGUGGCGAAGGCGGGUCUCUGGACCGGUUCUGACGCUCAGGCGCGAAAGCGUGGGGAGCGAUCCGG